CUGAUGGCCACAGGUGAUCUG
rnacentral:misc_RNA from 1 species